GUGGGGAAUCUUCCGCAAUGGACGAAAGUCUGACGGAGCAACGCCGAGUGAGUGAUGAAGGUCUUCGGAUUGUAAAGCUCUGUUAAUCGGGACGAAAGAGCCUAGUGUGAAUAAUGCUAGGAAGUGACGGUACCGGAAUAGAAAGCCACGGCUAACUACGUGCCAGCAGCCGCGGUAAUACGUAGGUGGCAAGCGUUGUCCGGAAUUAUUGGGCGUCAAGCGCGCGCAGGCGGAUCUGCCAGUCUGUCUUAAAAGUUCGGGGCUUAACCCCGUGAUGGGAUGGAAACUACAGAUCUAGAGUAUCGGAGAGGAAAGUGGAAUUCCUAGUGUAGCGGUGAAAUGCGUAGAUAUUAGGAAGAACACCAGUGGCGAAGGCGACUUUCUGGACGAAAACUGACGCUGAGGCGCGAAAGCCAGGGGAGCGAACGGGAUUAGAUACCCGAGUAGUCC
rnacentral:rRNA from 1 species